GACGAACGCUGGCGGCGUGCUUAACACAUGCAAGUCGAACGGUGAAGGGACCAGCUUGCUGGUUCUGGCUGAGUGGCGAACGGGUGAGUAACACGUGAGUAACCUGCCCCCUUCUUCUGGAUAACUGCAUGAAAGUGUGGCUAAUACGGGAUAUUCUGGGUCUGUCGCAUGGCGGGCCCGGGAAAGAUAUUGCUUCGGUGGGGGAUGGGCUCGCGGCCUAUCAGCUUGUUGGUGGGGUGAUGGCCUACCAAGGCGGUGACGGGUAGCCGGCCUGAGAGGGUGGACGGUCACACUGGGACUGAGACACGGCCCAGACUCCUACGGGAGGCAGCAGUGGGGAAUAUUGCACAAUGGGCGCAAGCCUGAUGCAGCGACGCCGCGUGAGGGAUGGAGGCCUUCGGGUUGUAAACCUCUUUCGCCAGUGAAGCAGGCCUGCUCCUUGUGGGUGGGUUGACGGUAGCUGGAUAAGAAGCGCCGGCUAACUACGUG
rnacentral:rRNA from 1 species